rnacentral:rRNA from 1 species
UACGUAGGGUGCGAGCGUUGUCCGGAAUUAUUGGGCGUAAAGGGCUCGUAGGCGGUUUGUCGCGUCGGGAGUGAAAUCAUCUGGCUUAACUGGGUGCUUGCUUUCGAUACGGGCAGACUAGAGGUAUGCAGGGGAGAACGGAAUUCCUGGUGUAGCGGUGGAAUGCGCAGAUAUCAGGAGGAACACCGGUGGCGAAGGCGGGUCUCUGGGCAGUAACUGACGCUGAGGAGCGAAAGCGUGGGGAGCGAACAGG